CGUUGAAAUACCGGUUCCCGUAUAAUCACCAAAGUUAAGCAACCUCGAGCCUGGUCAGUCCCACGAUGGGUGACUGCUUAGGAAUACCAGGUUCUGUAAG